AACGACCGCCUCAAUCAGCUCAGCCGACAGCUCGACAGCAUCACCGAGGACAGCCCUCAAUACCAGGAUGUGGCAGAGGAGUACAACCAGCUGAAAGACCUGAAACGGAGCCCAGACUACCAGAGCAAGAAGCAGGAGAGCAAGGUGCUGCGCAACAAGCUCUUCCACAUCAAGCGCAUGGUGGGUGCUUACGACAAGGUGCGGGGGUAACCAGCACCAGGAGGGGGGGGCACCCCCACCCCCCCACCACCA